UUAUUUUACUUUACAACAUUGUAUUGGAACGAUACAGAGAAGAUUAGCAUGGCCCCUGCGCAAGGAUGACAAGCAAAUUUGUGAAGUGUUCCAUAUUUUU
rnacentral:snRNA from 1 species